rnacentral:rRNA from 1 species
UACGUAGGGUGCAAGCGUUGUCCGGAAUUAUUGGGCGUAAAGAGCUCGUAGGCGGUUUGUUGCGUCGGCUGUGAAAUCCCGAGGCUCAACCUCGGGUCUGCAGUCGAUACGAGCAAACUAGAGUGUUGCAGGGAGACUGGAAUUCCUGGUGAUAGCAGUGAAAUGCGUAGAUAUCAGGAGGAAUACCGAUGGCGAAGGCAGGUCUCUGGGCUGACACUGACGCUCAUGCACGAAAGCGUGGGGAGCAAACAGG